AUCCAGCCGAAGAGUCCCAAACAGGACGAAACGCAGUUUGUCCUGGAU
rnacentral:hammerhead_ribozyme from 1 species